UUUCCGUAGGUGAACCUGCGGAGGAUCAUAG
rnacentral:rRNA from 1 species